rnacentral:rRNA from 1 species
UACAGAGGUCUCAACCGUUGUUCGGAUUCAUUGGGCGUAAAGGGUGCGUAGGCGGUCGUGCAAGUCGGAUGUGAAAUCUCAGGGCUCAACCCUGAAACUGCAUUCGAUACUGCGCGGCUAGAGUGCUGGAGGGGAGACUGGAAUUUACGGUGUAGCAGUGAAAUGCGUAGAUAUCGUAAGGAGACCAGUGGCGAAGGCGAGUCUCUGGACAGCAACUGACGCUGAGGCACGAAGGCCAGGGGAGCAAACGGG